UCCUUGCCUACCCACUCCACAACAUUCAGUUGCUGCUUUGUUUCUGUCUUUGCUAUUAUUUAUUUAUUUAUUUAUUUAUUUAUAACUUAGAAUAUCCAGGUUACCCGAACAAUGCAAGCUUUGUUGUUAACCUGAAGCUUCGGAUCUUAUUGAGAUCAGUGAGUAGAGUGGAUGGGUGACUUUUUCUGCAAAAAAUUAUAUUAAUAUGUGAAUUUGAAUACAUAUUUUGGGCCAAUAUUAAUGACAUUUUAUUCACCCAUAGCAUAACUCACGAAAGCACUUUCGUAGCCAUCGUGAAUGGAUAAGUAUUCUGUAGUAAAUUAUAUGCGUAUGUCACCAUACAAUCAAGCCAUAUAAGUAUCAUCUGAAGACAAAAUAUUUGCAAUCGUUCCUUUCACAAAAUUAUCCAAUUAUUUGUUGGAUCUACACUUCAUAGUUUAUUAUCACAACCUGCACAUUUAAGGGAUUUGAAAUUGCAAUCUAGGAAUUUAUGUUUAUAAGUUAUGUCAUAAAUUCCUAGACUGAAAUAUAAUUCAUGUUAACACUUCUUGAUUCAAAUUGUAAUCACGAAGAUGAAGAAAGAAGAAAAAAAUGGGGGAAAAAACAAGAAAUAAAAUAAUGCACUUAAUAAUGAAAUACAUGAAUAUUGAGCAAAACUGAUUUUGUUCAUGAAAUCUUGCCACGAAGUGUUUCCAUUCUCCCAAACCUGAGCUUGGUUGUUACAGACGCUCAGUAUAUGUCCAUCGACAUCUUCAACGUCGCACACUACAUAAAAACAAAGAGACAAUGGAGGAUACUUAAACUGUUGCAAGGAAGGUAUUCCACUAUUGCUCUUGCUCCUGCUCCUGCAAACUUGUAGAGCGAAAAAGAGGCAGUAAAAGAUGGUCCCGUCUCGACAGUGAGAGAGACGCAGGUUCUGCGUCGUCAUGAUCUCUUCAAGGGUAUAGACAGCGGCAGCGAAUCCUGUCGUAGGCCCGCCAUGGUGAGCACUCGGGCGCCGCUUAUGUACAUGCUGGUGGGGCGUGAAAAACUUGAGACAGUGUGGACCGUGGAGUGUAGACAAGGAAUGGAGAUGGUGUUGGUGGUGGUGGGAGCCAGAGAUCUCCCCAGCUCUUGGAAAGGUUUUACGGCCUCAGUUCAUUGUGGUCUUCUUGUUGGAAAACCGUAGCUAGUUGAUAUGGUUAAUGGCCUCUGUGGUCUAGUCUACACUGGAAGCGGUGAAGGAUUUGCGUGGAACUUGUAGGUGACGUCGAGCACCCAAAAGCUUGCUAGGACGAGGCCGAAGCUGGUGGAACUGGACAACUCAGUAGGCACUGUGCAUGUUCCUUCACGGAUACUUCUAAGCGCCGAGAUUAUCAACACUGGCGCGAGAUUACGAUUUUAAGGCGUUAUCUCUCAAAGGCAGAUAGCGCUCGUGGGGCGUCGCUCAAUCUCUUGAAAAAGGAUCGAAAUGUUCUACCAUAUAAUAUGACACGUGGUUUCGAGGCGCGGGCUUGGGAAGUUGGGUCGACCCUGCACAAGUUUACUUUUUCUUCCUCUGGGGGUACAUUCCUGUAGAAGCAAGAGUCAUGCUGUGCACGUAAAGCUUCUUAUUUUUACCGUGAAACCAGCCGCACCGGGAACACCAGGUCAGCUGAGCGCAUAUACAGAUGGAUAUGUUGGUCUGUGGAGUAUUUACAGUAAUCUGGGUGCAGAUCUGGGUGCUUGAAGGGUUCCUCUUGCGAUGGAUUUUGUAACGGUUUGGCUAGAAAACAAGGAUUUAAUGAGCAAAAUUCUUUGGUAGUUGAUUCAUUUGCAACCUUAAGAGCAACAAUAACAAGAGCAUGAUACUGGCUGCAAAAACAUGUUGGAGCAGGGAGUCGUGAUGUGAUGCAGACAAGGCACUUCGCAGAUAAAGUUUUUUUCUUCUUUUCAUGCUUUUAACAUGUGCAUGACCUUUUUUUUGACUUAAAACAAACAAAAUGAGAUGUCGGGAAAAAAGACUGUUAACCGCGAGUUUGGAAGCAGUGCAAAGCCUCAUCGCCUCACAAUCUGCAAAAAGUUGUAAUCAGCUUUUCAUAAAGCUAGUUACCUAACCAUAUCAUCUGAGCUGAUUUCCUCUGCUAAAUUGCUAAUAGGAAUAAGAACAACUUUACAGCCAAAAUCUAUUUAUAAAACCAUAUAAGGAAAUGCUAAACCGUGUGUUUGGACAGGACCGAACACAAGAAACUUACUUCUAAUCCGUUCCGAGUUUCUACUGGUGGCAAGAUUUGGGUGGCAGGCAUUGGGGCAUACACACCAUAGCACUAGUGAACAAGCUUUGACAUCGCUCCGGACGAUUACUUUUGGUCGGCCGCGAUCCGAGCUGUACCAGUGUUUGAGGAAAAUGAGCUUGACCGCUGGUUAAUUAAUCUCAAGCCUAUGUUUAGGACCGCCAAGAAGGUUGCAAAGCACCGCAGAUGCUGGGUGUGAGUGACCCUGACAUCAGACUCGUGGGCACUGCCAAAGUGGUUAUCUCUGAAGCUUUUCGCAAACCAACAGGUGAUGAAUGGGGCCGCAAGGGAGUUGGAGGGGGGGAAGGAAAUAGAAGAAAAAAAGUGGAGCUCUGUCUAAACAAUGCCUCCAAAAAGUAUUCCGUGGACUUUACGUAAUGAGUCUAAGGCUGUCAAUGUUGUUCGCACCGACCCCCAUCAUGAGCGUCUCCGAGGGCAUACCUCAGGCACAGAAAAGCGGCCCUGGCUCCAGCUGAUUAUGUUGUCACUGCUUUAAACAUUGCAAAUGUUCUGCUAAGAAACUUGGGUGCAGGGAUGUAGUUAUAUGCAAGAUAUAAAUGCCAUUUGGAUGGAUUUUUCCACCACGAGAGUACGCGCCAUGACGACAAACCAUGUAUAAGCGUGAACCUCCGAAAUCUCGAGGCUUUCUGGUGACGGGAAAUUGCCUUCCCUUCUGUGUUCAUGGAAACGCAUGGAAAAUUGGUCCGAACCCUACAGGCACCGAGCGAUGGUGUUAAACAGGGAGGACGUAACCUUGCGCGUUUUAUUCCAUGAUCUCAUGCAACACACCCGCAUGGAAUAAUCUUGGACUCACGUUACGGCACCGAACCUGUCACAAUCUGGGUGCAAAACGCCAACGGGAGAGGGAAGAAAGGAACAGUGGCGGAAGUGAAACUUCCGAAAAGGCGGUCUCAUACAAACACUGAUCACGUAACCCACCAGCCUCCAGCUCUCGCUUUACCGUGCGCAUGCACCAGUCUCUCGUCACAGCUCACGAAUUAUUAGGCUCGCGCAUCUGUAUACUUCUGCCCCUCGCGCUCCAAAAAGCCGACCCAGAAAAAGACGUGUAACGAGACAAGCGACACAAGGCAUACCCCAGUCAAGGGGGAGGGGAGGGGGGAUGCGAAUGAACUCUCUCGACUAGCUUGGUAUGGGCAGCUUUGCGAGCACGCAAGAGAGGAGGAAAAAACACCCUCUCCCUGGUCCCGCAAGACACCGUCCAGGACAGGUGCAUGGUCCCAGAGGACACAUCGCCAAGUCCUGGUUCUAGCGCUGGUCCAUGCGGUGCUCUUUAGCAAAAGCGUCGACGUUCACCACUUGCUCUAUCAUUGUGAUCGAUUGCCAUGGCCACCUUUUGGGUGUUGCAAUGGUGUGAUGGUGCAUCCUGGAGCCUGAAACAUGCCUCGCACCGACUUCUGGGGUCCCCGCUGGAGCCGCGGCGGCACCGGCGCGUGCCAGUGACGCCGACAGUGAUGAUGUUGUUUGUCUAUGCCCUCAGCAUCGCCUCUUGGGUUGAAGUGAUCUUACUGGGGGGUUGGGAACACCAUGCACCCCACCAGAGAUUCCUCGCGCACUCAUUGCCUCCAGCGCCCAUCCGGACGGUGAUUUAUGCAAUCUACUCGUUUUCCUCGGUGGGCGAGGUAUUGGUACCGGCUGUCGCCUUUGUGGUGAAGCUCUGCCACAAAACUCUGACGCAUAGCCACUGCUUCAUUGACGCUAAACCUUGCAUGUAACAGCCGCAUCGGAUCACCAAAUCCUGGCUGGCAAGCUGCAACCUGAUCUCGCGAUUCUUCCUUCUCAAGUGAGGGGAGAGCGCACGACCUGGAACAAUACACUGGAUCGCCAGCCACGAGAUCUUAAUCUGGUCAAACUCUGCUGCAGCAGUGCCAUGUUUCCUGUCUGGACAAGGCUUUGUUGCAAAGUUAAGCCCGUUCUGUUAGUAAUUAACCCCCGCUGGUGUCGCCUGGUUCCCCCAUCGUGCAAAGAGGACUAGAUUUCUGAUUUCGCUAAUGCAUCUACAUGAUGGAUGACACGGUCGACAUGCUCUGCGUGGCGCUCUGGUGCGGGUGAUUCUUCCUGACACGCCUGGUUUCCCCACAACCACGAGGGCCGCCGUCGCCGUUGUUCAGAUCAUGGGCAAUGCCACCUGCUGGCGUGUCAUAGAGAAUUUUUCUGAUUAGGCCAUGGACUUGAUUUUGUUACUACAAGUACGGUGAAUGAACUUGAACAUUGGUGUCCAUAAUUUGAGCAUCCAUACUUAACGUCCUC